rnacentral:lncRNA from 1 species
GGCCCUUCUUUGCCUGCGCGAGGUCUCAGAAUCCGGGGGGAAAAAGAAAAGAAAAGAAAAGAUGAUGACUGUCUCUACCUCUUGCUACAUGUGCCGCUUCCUCGUCCGGGCUCCUCCGCUCAAGUCCAGGAGUGCAGUGCGCUGUCCAAGCGCCGCCCCACCAGGUGCUAGCGGUGCCACCUCCACCUCCAAGGUAAACCCACACCUACUACCUGUGUGCUUCGUAAGGCCUAUCUACACCUGCAGGCUGCAGCCACCAGCACAGGGAUAUGUACCAGCCUGCUCGUUUCAGCUGGAACAGUAUUCUCCAGUUUUGGAUUGGAACAUGCAGCCACAGCCAAAAGUAGCUGAAGCGAUUGGAGUUGUAGCUUUUCGGGGAUAAUCAAAUGAUAGGAGAGUGGAGGUGGUGGAUCAUGUGUAAGCUUUAGACUACUGACUGAUUCACUUGUCUAUCCGGCGCUGGUUGCUUUCCCUGUGUGAAGCUUGUCCUAGAGGUGAAAGAACGGCUAGCAAGGGAGCACCCAGGCCUCCCCACGGGCAGGUACGGGAGGGACGAUGACGACAUGGUCCUCUGGUUCCUAAAGGACCGCAAGUUCUCCGUCGAUGAAGCCGUCUCCAAGCUCACCAAGGCGAUUGUAUCCUCUAAUUCACUCGCUUGUAGCAGUGAAGCUCACACCUAAUAGCUUCUUUACUGGCUCACUAAAUUCCUGGUAUGGUAACCGAGUUCAUAUAGCACUGCUAUCUUCAGUUUUCCUUUCAACUGCAUUAGAAAUGGCGUCAGGACUUUGGUGUUGCAGAGUUAUCAGAGGAAUCAGUGAAAAGCCUGUACCAAACUGGCAAGGCAUAUGUACAUGAUUCCUUGGACAUUUAUGGCCGACCUGUGCUGAUUGUAGUGGCAGCCAAACAUUUUCCUUCGGUGCGUUCCGUUUGUUUCCCAAUCUUGAUUUGGAAAUGCUCAACAGGAUAGUGGCUACACACUGUUUCCAGUUUUUUAGAAUAGCACACAUAACAAAGGCUGACAGUAUGCAGUGGAAAGUAUCAGUACUUCACACCUCAUAGCAGCUCUAAAAUUAAACUACAUGGCUUGGCUAGCUGACCUGUAACCUAUGGAUGUCUUAGUAUUCAACAUGCAUUUGUUCUUCAUAAUAAUGAUGAUCCAUGUAUAAUAUGCUACUGCAGACACAGGAUCCAGUUGAAAACCAGAAGCUAUGUGCCUAUUUGGUUGAGAAGGCAGUCAACAGACUUCCGCCAGGAGCAGAGAAUAUACUUGGGAUCUUUGAUCUGCGAGGCUUUCGGGUUGAAAAUGGUGAUCUCCAGUUCCUAAAGUUUUUGGUGAGUUUGGUAGCUUCAAGGCAUGACUAAGCAUCUCUGAUUACCUUUUUUUCGGUGGUAGACAUGCAUAUUUUUAUUUGUGACGAUAUGAAUGAAACAUUGUGUUUAUUUGUGACGAUAUGAAUGAAACAUUGCGGCCGUGGCGGCUGUGGUUCCGGCGGGAACUGCCGAUCUGGAGGACUCCAACCCGCCACCGCCAAUCCCCCCGUCGAUGGUUGUCGAUCCGCCGCCUCCUCCACCGCUCACCCACCAGGAAGACACUGUCGCCGCCCUCACCGCUGCUCGUGCAGAGCACGCUGCUCGACAGGCCCGCUUGCGGGAAGCGGCCCUCGCGUGGGAGCGCGCGCGCGCGGCCGCCGAUGCUAUCGCUGCUCAAAUUGCCGCGGCGGAACAGCACCUCGCUUCGCCUGCGGCCCACGACGGCGGGGCCACCUCCGCUAACACCAUAGGCGGCGUGUACGGCGUCCCGACCGUACCGACAGUCGGGACCGGGCCCCGGACCAUCCCCGAGGUGCUCUGGCAUGACCCGGCUGACCCGCUCGUGGCUCAGCUCCACCUACAGGCUGGGAGUGUCCAGAACAUUCGCCUGAUGGUUCCGGUCGUCCUGGAGUCAGAGUCGCCAUCCUACACGCGUUGGCGGGACUUGCUUCUUCUCACUCUUCGUCGCUACGCCCUGGAUGACCACGUCCUCUGCGACCCCAUCGGUGUGGCGCCGACUGCUGCGUGGGUGCGCCUCGACAGCAUCGUGCUCACCUGGAUCGUGGGGACGAUCUCCGUCGACCUCCACAGCCUCCUCCGGAACCUUCCUCAUGCUCGUGCUGUUUGGCUUGCCAUCGAGAGCCAGUUCAUGGGCAACGCCGAGGCCCGGGCUCUCCGCCUCGACGCCGCUUUUCGCACCUUCGUCCAGGGGGACCUCAGUGUCAGUGCAUACUGCCGCCAGAUGAAGACCAUGGCGGACUCACUUGGCGAUCUGGGCUGCCCCGUGGAGGACCGCAUCCUAGUCCUCAACGUCCUCCGCGGCCUCGGCGAUCGCUACACCCACCUCCGGUCAUUGCUCAUGCGCCAGCGCCCCUUUCCUACCUUCCUCCAGGUUCGCGACGACCUCGCCCUGGAGGAGAUCACUCUGGGGGCUCAGGCUGCAUCGAUCUCCGGCCCGGGGUCCUCGUCCUCUUCGACAGCACUUGCGGCUUUCACCCCGACCCGUCCGCCCACUCCGUCACAGUCUGCCCUUGGCCCUCGCCCUCCCGGACCGAGCAUGGGCGGCGGGGGUCGAGGUGGCGGAGGCGGGGGCGGUGGUGGACGUCGCCGCCGUGGUGGCCGCGAUGGUGGUGGUGGUGGUGGUUCCGGUGGUGGUGUCCGUGGCCACGCAUCGACGCCGGGACCCCAGCAGAGUGCGCCCUGGCCCACUUUCCACCACCCGUGGUCAGGGCGCAUCUCCAUGUGGCCGUUCCAGGGGCCUGGCUCUGAGGCUCGGCCUCCGGCGGCCAUGUUCGCUGGUGCGCAGCCAGGGUUCGCUUUCGCCUCUCCGUCGCCCUGGACCUCGACACCUGCCGUUUCGUCGUGGCCCACGCCUCCGGCUUCUCCACCGUCCGGGCUGGUUGGUUGGGACGCGACCGCCCUGGCUGCCUUCCAGACUCCUACUCUGACUCCGCCGAUGGGUCCCGAGUGGAUCGCGGACACCGGUGCUACCUACCACACCACCCCCGACCCUGGUAUACUCACCUCUGUUCGCCCUCCUUCUUCCUCUCUCCCCUCGUCCAUCAUGGUGGCGAAUGGCUCGUGUCUUCCUGUCACAUCUGUGGGUGCCGCCGGCCCUCCCGGCUCUUUUCGCGUUCCCGAUGUUCUUGUCGCUCCUUCUUUGGUCCACAAUCUUCUUUCUAUUCGUCGAUUUACUGCUGAUAAUUCUUGUUCUGUCGAGUUUGACUCUUUUGGUCUUACUGUGAAGGACUCGGCAACUCGACGCCCCCUCCUCAGAUGUGACAGCACCGGCCCCCUCUACACCCUUCGGCUUCCGUACACCACAUCUUCUUCGUCUUCGUCACCUGACACAGCUGCUGUUUUUGCUGCCGCCACGUCUUCUACCACCUGGCAUCGUCGCCUUGGUCACCCCGGACGCGACGCCUUGAUGCAGCUUACUCGUAGUGUCACUAUCCCAUGUACUAGAUCCCAUGAUGAGCAUCUUUGUCAUGCGUGCCAGUUAGGCCGUCAUGUUCGUCUUCCUUUUUCUUCUUCUUCCUCUCAUGCUACUCAUGCAUUUGAUCUUGUACACUGCGAUUUGUGGACUUCACCUAUUACCAGUAUGUCAGGCUACAAAUACUAUCUUGUGGUGCUUGAUGACUUUUCUCAUUAUGUGUGGACUUUUCCUUUGCGUGCCAAGUCUGAGACUUUCCCCGCCCUCCGCCACUUCUUCGCCUGGGUGUCCACUCAGUUCGGCCUCACCAUUAAGGCCGUUCAGUGUGACAAUGGUCGGGAGUUCGAUAACUCCACCUCCCGCGACUUCUUUCUCUCCCACGGGAUGCAAUUGCGGAUGUCUUGCCCGUAUACCUCCUCCCAGAACGGCAAGGCUGAGCGCAUGAUUCGCACGACCAACGACACCAUCCGCACUCUUCUUCUCCAGGCGCACCUUCCGGCUUGUUUCUGGGUCGAGGCCCUCCACACCUCUACCUACCUACUCAACCGUCUCCCUUCCACUGCGUGCCCGGCCCCCACUCCUCACCAGGCACUCUUCGGUACCCCUCCGCGCUAUGACCACCUCCGUGUCUUCGGGUGUGCUUGCUACCCGAACACCGCUGCCACUGCUCCUCACAAACUAGCACCCCGUUCCACCCUCUGUGUGUUUCUCGGGUACUCCCCGGACCACAAAGGCUACCGCUGCUUUGACCUCUGCUCUCGCCGGGUCCUCAUCUCUCGCCAUGUGGUGUUUGAUGAGUCCGUAUUUCCCUACUCCUCCACCACCACACCACCCUCCUCCGACCCUGACCUUGACCUCUUCACUCUCUUUCAGACUGACGCGGUGGUCGAGCCACCUCUCCUUCCUCUCUCUGCAGGUACUCGCUCACCACCUGUCGGUCCUACUCCCGGCCCGGUACCUUGCUCGGGUUCGGUGGUGUCGCGUCUCCGCGGCGCCCCGUCUCCGAUCGCCCCCGGGCCGAGCGAGGGUGGUGGGACUGCACCGCCUCCGGGGCCGUCGGUUACGACCCCUCCGUCCCGCUUCGCCCAGCCGGUGCGGGUCUACCAGCGCCGGCUGCCGCCGCCGGGGUUCGCCCCUCCACCGUCGCCGCCCCUGCCGCUGUCACCGCCGGUGGCCCAGUCCCCGCCAGGGACACCUACACCUCCGCCGCGGCCACCCGCGGCCCGUGUCGAGACGCCGGUGUACCAUCCACCGCUCCUUCAUCGCGACCCGCGGCAUGUCCACCCGAUGGUGACGCGGCACGCGGCCGGUACCCUGCCGCCCCGUGUCUUGGCGGCCACGACCGCCGACUCGCAGGUUUCUCCGGUACCCUCCUCCGUCCGCACCGCCCUGCUGGACCCCCACUGGCGUCAGGCGAUGGAGGAGGAGUACGCGGCGCUCGUCGCCAACCAGACGUGGGAUCUGGUGCCCCGUCCGCCCGGCACCAACGUCGUCACCGGCAAGUGGAUCUGGACACACAAGCGACGGGCCGAUGGUACCCUGGACCGGUACAAGGCUCGCUGGGUUCUUCGGGGCUUCACUCAGCGCCCCGGAGUCGACUACGAUGAGACCUUCAGCCCGGUUGUGAAGCCGGCCACCGUCCGCACGGUGCUCUCGCUGGCCCUCGCUCGCUCCUGGCCAGUUCACCAGCUCGACGUCAAGAACGCCUUCCUGCACGGCGCCCUCACCGAGACCGUCUACUGCUGUCAGCCUGCGGGGUUCGUGGACUCCUCUCGCCCUGACAUGGUCUGCCGGCUCAACAGGUCCCUCUAUGGCCUCAAGCAGGCCCCCCGGGCGUGGCAUUCCAGACUGGCUACCUUCCUGGUGACACUGGGCUUCGUGGAGGCCAAGUCCGACACGUCUUUGUUCGUCCACCAUCAUGGCGCAGAGACUGCCUACUUGCUACUCUACGUGGAUGACAUUGUCCUCACCGCCUCCAGUCCGUCUCUUCUUCGCCGCUUCGUCGACGCGCUUCAGCGGGAGUUUCCGGUCAAAGAUCUGGGCGUGCUUCACCAUUUCCUGGGGGUCAUUGCUGAGCCUCGCCCCUCAGGACUCCUCCUUCACCAGCGACAGUAUACACUUGACAUUCUGGAGCGGGCCCAGAUGAGUGACUGCAAGCCCUGCUCCACCCCUGUCGACACGCAGGCCAAGCUCUCUGCGGCCACGGGUGACCCAGUCGCGGACCCCACCGGCUACAGGAGUCUUGCCGGUGCCCUUCAGUACCUCACCUUCACCAGGCCGGACAUCUCCUACGCCGUGCAGCAGGUCUGCCUCCAUAUGCACGACCCUCGGGAGCCCCACCUUGCGGCGCUCAAGCGCCUCCUCCGUUACCUCCGGGGCACCGUCGACUACGGACUGCUUCUUCACCGGUCUACCUCCUCCGAGCUGGUCGUCUACACUGAUGCUGACUGGGCCGGGUGCCCAGACACUCGGCGCUCCACCUCCGGCUACGCUGUCUUCUUAGGCGGCAACCUUGUGUCCUGGUCGUCGAAGCGCCAGCCGGUCGUUUCCCGCUCCAGUGCAGAGGCGGAGUACCGUGCCGUGGCCAACGGCGUGGCGGAGGCUGCCUGGCUCCGGCAGCUCCUUACCGAGCUUCACAGUCCCCUCUCCAGGAGCUCGGUGGUCUACUGCGACAACGUCAGCGCGGUCUACCUCUCCACCAACCCAGUGCAGCACCAGCGGACCAAGCAUGUCGAGAUCGAUCUACACUUCGUCCGUGAUUAUGUCGCCGCCGGUACUGUUCGGGUCCUCCACGUCCCGACCACCUCCCAGUUUGCCGACAUCUUCACCAAGGGUCUUCCGUCCUCGACCUUCGCCGAGUUUCGCUCCAGCCUCAACAUCAGUAGUGGCUAGUUGAGUCUGUGGGGGGAUCCUAUUGUGUGAUGUACUUCUUUUUGAGUCCAGUCUGUGUACUCCGCUGCGCCGGACGUCCAGACUGCGGGGGGGUGUUAGAGUGUUAGGCCUGUUAAGGCUUGGCCCAUGUGGCCCAUGUAAACACUAUAUAGCUAACCUGUUGGGUUAGCCCUAAACCAUUGAAUAUUCACUCCAAUAGUAAAAAAUUGGUAAUCAUUCAUGUAAGGUAUACAUCUGUUGCAAAAAGUAAUUCCGGCCGAAUAAAACAAGAAACUUUUUCCUGGAUAUGAAAACUCUGUUGAUGCAUGCCAAUUUAAAAAACAAAGGACGGUGCGUGUUCAUGCUCCCAGAAGUCAGAAGGCGAAAAAGUUUAUCUAAUGGAUUAAUUCAAAUCACAUAUGGAGUUCUAAUUCUUGUUCUAUGUUGCAACUAAUAUACAUAUAAACAUGAUUUUUUGGGGUAUAUGCAUUGCAAUUAAUGCCCCCUCCCAUUCCCAGAUGGACGUUUUUUACUAUUACUACCCGAAGCGGCUUGGCCAAGUUCUUUUUGUCGAUGCUCCAUUUGUUUUUCAACCAAUGUGGCAGGUUGUUAAACCUCUAUUGAAAUCAUAUGCCUCCCUGGUAUGCUCUCCCUCUCUCUUAGGUUAGCGCUUCAUCGAACGAUAUGGAACGAUAUGGAUAACCUUACAGUCUACUGCUAUGUUGCCCCUGCUAGGUAAGAUUUUGUGAUGCCGAGACUGUGAGGAAGGAAUACUUCAAAGAAGAAACGGUGCCUCCUGAUUUCCGCGAUUAGGUGACAUGAUUAUUUCUUCAGUAAUUGCAAGGCAGUUCUACCUCUGCCUUUGUGUAACGAUUGAAAUUCUAAAUUGUGCAGAUUAUUUUUAGUUCUUCCAAUCCCUCCUAAAAGCUAUUUUGCAGAAAUGUGCAGGUGGUCUCGGAAACAUGACCUUUAAUUGAUUCAGAAUCGAUUGGCACCCAGGGGGGCUGGCGCCUUCCUAUACCUUUUGAUUAACUUCUCAAAAGUUGCUCAGACGGCAGCAAACGAUUGGAGAGUCCAGUAAAAAAUGACCCUGUACUUGUAUAACUUCUGCGAAGUAGAAUGCUGAGUUUAGGCUGGUGUCUGGAGUGCUCCUGUACCAUAUUUUUCUGGUUUUGGAUGAAGCUAUAUGGACCAAAUUCAUCUCUGUUGAACAAUUGCCAAUUACAUAACUUGUGUUUGCCCAAUUCCAUGGUGUAGUACCAUAACUUCUCAGUGCAGUGCAGACAACACAUGGAUUCCAUUUUUUGAUUAAAGUAUCAUCUGCUACAAAUAUGAAUCAUGGCUUAGUUUGUAGACUUCAUAAAGAAACACACAGAUUAAUCAAACCAGUCUUCGAAGAGUCUCUGUGGAUAGGAACGUUCCAAAGCAAAGUAAGAUGCAAGUUGUAUUGCAUAAAAACCAGGUACACAUCAAUCAGCUGCAUUCUGGAAGACUAAACUGCAACACAACUACAUCUGCAAUCACAGAGAAAUCAGGUAUACGACCAAUUGUUAUCUAUUGUAAAUAUUUUGUUUUUUAGGUCAACAACGGAGAGGGUCAAGCGAUCCCCACGUACAGAUGCCAGCAUGGUCUUUUACAUGGUUCCAAGAGGAGGUAAAUCGAGUGUAGCCCUAAAAAGAUCUGCCUUGUGCCACUUCAACACUUUAACCCAGAUGCAAUAAAAAAACACUUUAACCCAGAUGCUGCAUUGUGGUGUGGCAAAGGCUUGAGAAUAUGACAAUAACAGCUGCUCAAAAACUGUUGGUAGGAACAUUUAUAGCAGCAAAAGAACAAAAUGGAAUGUGUGGUUUCUUAUCUGCCUUAGAUGAGAUAAGAUUUCGGACAUGUGUAUUCAUGUUUUCGAGUGAUUUGGCACUAUGAAUGCGCUAGAUGGUUGGUUGCUUUUUUUUGUUAAUUGCUCAGGUGAUAUAUGCUGUAUUUCUAGUCACUAGUGUUGUAUUGUUUGUGCUUGUGCUAAGAUGAUCUCUUUUGCACUUGUAACAGGGGCUCAUUCAAGUACUCUACUGAUCGAAAAUGGAUGGCGUCUGUGAUGGUUCAUUCUUUUGCACGUCUUCUACACGGGUACAUUGACGGUUGAUGGAGAUGGAUGGUGGUGUAGCUGUUUUGUUUAGCAAUUAGCACUCUAGGUGUUGGACCACUGUUUUGUUAAUGGAUGCUAUGUAACAGUAGUAUGUAACUAAUGUGAACUUGUUUAGGUUGCUGUGAAACUGUUAUACAACACAUUGUUAUGGGGUUGUUACACAGCUGAUAUGUUAUGAACAUGAUAUGGAGAUAUCUUUUCCUUUUUGGUUUGGGUUUUACUGUUGUGCCAUUCGUCUCAUAAGUUAUGCCAUUUUAUUAUUUACUUUUGGAUUGAUAUAUAUUCGUCUCUGAAGCCUUCCUUCACUACAAUAUGUCUCUGUCAUCAACGUAUCCACUGGCUGAGACACGAAGCCGUGGAUAGCUUCCUUUAUGGCCGUGUCCACGCUUCCGCAUCUCAUAUUUUUUCUUAUCAAAAGAUGCAUCGACGUUCACCAUCACUUUUCCCUCAGGAGGUUUCUAUCAUCCGUGCUGUAUUUUUGUUUCUUUGUUCCUUGUUUGUUGCUAGCUUGGAGUAAUUUCUUUGUAGAGCUGGAGCUCCCCAGCAAUGUCCUUAAUAUUAACGGCCUCUUUAAUCUGAAAACGGAAAAAUAAAGAAGAGAGAAACGGGAGAAGAAGAAAGAAAGGAUGGAGAGCAAGUGGGUCCUGUGGCAUGGAGGAACAUGGAGCACAGAAAAGAGUAGUAAUAUAAUGUGAUGGAACGGCCGGAAUUGAGAUGGUGCUCAUAAGAUACGGUGUCGUGGAGGGAAACCGUUCCACCCAUCUCAAUGACACCGUAUCUUAUGAGCAAGGAGCCCUGCUGCUCCCAUGAGCAAAAUCAAUCCAGACCACAUCCUCCACAUCCAACGGUGCUGCGUUAGGGGGGUUUUGUAAAAUGUACAGAGUUGCAAAGAACAUUUUACAAAACCCCCUGAUAUAGCACCGUUGGAUGUGGAGGGUGUGGUCUGGAUUGAUUUUGCUCAUGGGAGCACCAACGCUCUUUGCGCACAAGAUACGUUCUCUCCCUCCACAACCACUUGCUCCUCAUCUACUUUUCUCCUCCGCCUUCCACUCAUCCUUGCUCCUGCCUGCCGUCGUGCAUCAUCAUCUCCGGCCAGGGCCAGGGCAUUCGUCUCCGCCUCCGGUCCGGCCUCCUCCACACCGCGCCCCCCCCCCCCCCCAGACGCGUCGCUGCGUAGCUGCUGGCCGCCAUGGCCACCGUCAUGGCCGCGGCCGUCUAGUCCUUCCCGUCCUCCUCGGCCGUCGUCGCCAAGGCGUCGCCGGCGUCCCCCUGUGCCGCCCCGCACUUCCGCCCGAGGGCCGUGCGGGCCGCUAUCCGGGCGCAGGCGUCCGCCGUCGAGGCGCCCGCCACGGCCAAGGCCAAGAAGGAGUCCAAGAAGCAGGAGGAGGGCGUCGUCACCAACCUAUACAAGCCCAAGGAGCCGUACGUCGGCAGGUGCCUCCUCAACACCAAGAUCACCGGCGACGACGCGCCGGGGGAGACGUGGCACAUGGUCUUCAGCACCGAAGGUAGGUACUGAGGUUAAAAAAAAAAUCUGAUUUUUGCUGCCUUGUUCGUUCGUUCAAUUGCUGUAUUCGUAUCGUAUGUAUAUACGCUGAUGGACGCACGUACGCAGGCCCUUCUUUGCCUGCGCGAGGUCUCAGAAUCCGGGGGGAAAAGAAAAGAAAAGAAAAGAUGAUGACUGUCUCUACCUCUUGCUACAUGUGCCGCUCCCUCGUCCGGGCUCCUCCGCUCAAGUCCAGGAGUGCAGUGCGCUGUCCAAGCGCCGCCCCGCCAGGUGCUAGCGGUGCCACCUCCACCUCCAAGGUAAACCC